UUAUUUAAUGGCCGCGGUAUUUUGACCGUGCAAAGGUAGCAUAAUCAUUAGUUUAUUAAUUGUAAACUUGUAUGAAUGGUUGGACGAAAUAUUAACUGUCUCUUAUUUAAUUUUAUAAUUUAAAUUUUGAGUUAAAAUGCUUAAAUUUUAUUAGAGGACGAGAAGACCCUAUAGAUUUUUAUUAUAUUAAUUUUAAUUUUUUUUUUGUUUAUUUCUUUAUUAUUUUUAAUAUUUUUUGAUUGGGGUGAUCUAGGGAAAUAAGUAACUCUUUAUUUUAUUAUACAUUUAUAUUUGUAUUUAUGACCUUUUAUUAAUGUUAUAAGAUUUAAAUACCUUAGGGAUAACAGCGUAAUUUUAAUUGAGAGUUCAUAUCGACAUUAAAGAUUGCGACCUCGAUGUUGGAUUAAGAAUAAAUUUAGGGGCAGAUCCUUAAAUAUUAAGUCUGUUCGACUUUUAAAUUCUUACAUGAUCUGAGU
rnacentral:rRNA from 1 species